rnacentral:rRNA from 1 species
UGCGUAGGGGGCUAGCGUUGUCCGGAAUCAUUGGGCGUAAAGCGCGCGUAGGCGGCCAGAUUAGUCCGGUGUGAAAGUCAGAGGCUCAACCUUUGAAUGCCGCUGGAAACUGUCUGGCUUGAGUCCGGAAGGGGCGAGUGGAAUUCCUGGUUUAGCGGUGAAAUGCGCAGAUAUCAGGAGGAACACCAAUGGCGAAGGCAGCUCGCUGGAACGGUACUGACGCUGAGGCGCGAAAGCGUGGGGAGCAAACAGG